UGCCAGCGGUCCGGCCGGGAACUCAAAGGAGACUGCCAGUGAUAAACUGGAGGAAGGUGGGGAUGACGUCAAGUCAUCAUGGCCCUUACGACCAGGGCUACACACGUGCUACAAUGGCGCAUACAAAGAGAAGCGACCUCGCGAGAGCAAGCGGACCUCAUAAAGUGCGUCGUAGUCCGGAUUGGAGUCUGCAACUCGACUCCAUGAAGUCGGAAUCGCUAGUAAUCGUGGAUCAGAAUGCCACGGUGAAUACGUUCCCGGGCCUUGUACACACCGCCCGUCACACCAUGGGAGUGGGUUGCAAAAGAAGUAGGUAGCUUAACCUUCGGGAGGGCGCUUACCACUUUGUGAUUCAUGACUGGGGUGAAGUCGUAACAAGGUAACCGUAGGGGAACCUGC
rnacentral:rRNA from 7 species